rnacentral:rRNA from 1 species
AUGCAAUUGCCAAGAACUGAGACUAAUGGCCAGCCGAGAAUGAGCAACACACCAGUGAAUAAUCAAGACAUACAAGAUGCAGAUAAUGUUCCAAGAGUUGGGAAGUGCUUUCAGUCUGAAGAAGAGGCGUACCAAUUUUACAAUUCUUAUGCUCAAACCAAGGGAUUUAGCAUUAGGAAGUGCCGCUUGAAGUUUAAGGCAGAUGGGACUUUAAGUUCCAGAUAUUUUGUUUGUAGCAAGGCAGGUGUGAAAAAUGCUAAUCCAACACAUGUGGCCAAGAAAGAACAAGCUAUUUCGAGGACUAAUUGUAUGGCUCGAGUUCAAUUCAGCAUCAAUCAAGAGGGAAUUUGGACCGCUCAGAAAGUUACGCUCGACCACAAUCACCAGCUUGUAAGUCCAGAUAAGAGGCACAUGCUUAGAUCGCAGCGUCAACUCUUAGAUGCCGAUCGCCACAUGAUUAAGCAAAUGAGGACAUCGGGAAUUAGACAAGCCGAAAUUUAUGAUUUUUGCGAGCUUUGGUAUGGUAAAGAUGCUAUACCCUUCUUGCAAAUGGAUUGCAACAAUUAUUUGCGAAGUGAGCGCUCAAAGUAUAUGGAAACCAAAGAUGCACAAACAUUAAUGGAGUAUCUAAAGAACAAGCAAGCUGAGGACCCUUCGUUUUUCUAUGCCAUGAGUUAG